rnacentral:misc_RNA from 1 species
GCUGCACAACCUAAAAGAAUGGCAAUGGUGAGAUCUUUAAAAGAUUCUACCACAAAGUAGAAGAAGCGCUUUGUUGGCGGUUUCUUAUACUUGUUGGAACCAAAUGCUUCACUUCUGUAAGCAAUGUCCUGAGGGCUGCCAUUGAUGCCUGCUUCUAUGUCCGUUUCAAUAGCAGAUGCAACACCAGAGAUCCCACCAUAUUUUUGAAACUGGUCAAGGUUUUUCUUUUUAACAAGCUCAGUUAGACUUGCUUGAUUAAUCUUGAAGCAUUUGUCGCCUAAAUUAAUAUCGAGUAUAAUAAAAGAUGGACAGGGGGAAAUCUUAGCACCCUUUUUCUUGCGUAUUGCAUUUUUGCUCAGAUAGUAUAUGGUUCUAGAGCAAUAAAUAGCAGUAAAAGCAAAAUGCCAUCUUUUAUUGGGUUUGCUACGGGUGCUUGGGACAUUAAGUAAACUAAAGAUAGAAAUGUUUUCUUGGAGAGAGGCAGACAUAAUUUGAGAAGCAGGAAAUGGAACAACAAGGCAGUAGAAAAGAUGACUCUGAAACUAGGCAAGGAUUGUUAACAAGGAGACAAUGCUAUCGGAAACCGAAAAGUUUAUUCAGUGAAUAGCUUAUAUAGAAA